rnacentral:rRNA from 1 species
GACGAACGCUGGCGGCGUGCUUAACACAUGCAAGUCGAACGGAAAGGCCCUGCUUGCAGGGUACUCGAGUGGCGAACGGGUGAGUAACACGUGGGUGAUCUGCCCUGCACUUCGGGAUAAGCCUGGGAAACUGGGUCUAAUACCGGAUAGGAGCCAUUUUUAGUGUGAUGGUUGGAAAGUUUUUUCGGUGUAGGAUGAGCUCGCGGCCUAUCAGCUUGUUGGUGGGGUAAUGGCCUACCAAGGCGGCGACGGGUAGCCGGCCUGAGAGGGUGGACGGCCACAUUGGGACUGAGAUACGGCCCAGACUCCUACGGGAGGCAGAAGUGGGGAAUAUUGCACAAGGGGCGCAAGCCUGAUGCAGCGACGCCGCGUGGGGGAGGACGGCCUUCGGGUUGUAAACUCCGUUCGCUAGGGACGAAGCUUUUUGUGACGGUACCUAGAUAAGAAGCACCGGCUAACUACGUG